rnacentral:ncRNA from 2 species
CUGGCCGACUGACGCGCCGGCAUCGAGCGAGGCAUGUUAGACACGCGUCGCGAGAGGGAACCCGGUGAAAGUCCGGGACAGUCCCGCAGCGGUAAGCCCGUAGGAGCACCACGACAGUGCGCCUGCGAGUCCGAAGACCUGCCGGCUGUGCCGGGCGCGC